AGAGUGAUUUAAAGAACCUUCUAGAACUCAUAAGAAAGGAACGUUUUUUUUUUCUUGAGAUGAAUGAUGGAAAAAAAUGGAGCCAGUGGGGGGAAAAGGUUCUCUGGCUCUAUGUACCUCAGGCCUGGAACUCACUAUAUUGCCCAAGGUUUCCUCAAACUCAUAGGAAUCCUCCUGUCUCAGUCUCCUGAAUAUUGGCAUUAAAGACAAGGACAGGUGAGCAAAGCACCAGCAGGAACUCAGACUGGCUACUGGACAUACCUGCUAGCUUAAACAUGAAGUGGGAAGAUACUCUGACUAGCUUGGAG